GGAUGCGAUCAUACCAGCACUAAAGCACCGGAUCCCAUCAGAACUCUGUAGUUAAGCGUGCUUGGGCGAGAGUAGUACUAGGAUGGGUGACCUACUAGGAAGUCCUAGUGUUGCAUUCC
rnacentral:rRNA from 1 species